rnacentral:rRNA from 1 species
CACGUAGGGCGCAAGCGUUGUCCGGAAUUAUUGGGCGUAAAGAGCUCGUAGGCGGUCUGUUGCGUCCGCUGUGAAAACUCGGGGCUUAACCCCGAGCCUGCAGUGGAUACGGGCAGACUAGAGUCAGGUAGGGGAGAACGGAAUUCCUGGUGUAGCGGUGAAAUGCGCAGAUAUCAGGAGGAACACCGGUGGCGAAGGCGGUUCUCUGGGCCUGUACUGACGCUGAGGAACGAAAGCGUGGGGAGCGAACAGG